rnacentral:rRNA from 1 species
CUGCUGCCUUCCGUAGGAGUCUGGUCCGUGUCUCAGUACCAGUGUGGGGGACCUUCCUCUCAGAACCCCUACGCAUCGUCGCCACGGUGGGCCGUUACCCCGCCGUCUAGCUAAUGCGCCGCAUGCCCAUCCUCUUCCGAUGAAUCUUUCCUCGAUCUCGGAUGCCCGAAACCGAUAUACGCGGGAUUAGCCUCCCUUUCGGAAGGUUGUCCCCCUGAAGGAGGGCGAGGUUGCAUACGUGUUACUCCACCGUGCGCCGGUCGCCGG